UGCUGUGGUUUCAGACCUAG
rnacentral:siRNA from 1 species